GUGGGCUAUGGUGACAUGUACCCAGAGACAGUGUGGGGAAAGCUGGUGGGCUCAAUGUGUGCCAUUGCUGGAGUGCUUACCAUCUCACUGCCAGUGCCUGUUAUAGUAUCCAAC
rfam:Larimichthys crocea isolate SSNF unplaced genomic scaffold scaffold766, whole genome shotgun sequence.